rnacentral:rRNA from 1 species
UACGGGGGGGGCAAGCGUUGUUCGGAAUUACUGGGCGUAAAGGGCUCGUAGGUGGCCAACUAAGUCAGACGUGAAAUCCCUCGGCUUAACCGGGGAACUGCGUCUGAUACUGGAUGGCUUGAGAUUGGGAGAGGGAUGCGGAAUUCCAGGUGUAGCGGUGAAAUGCGUAGAUAUCUGGAGGAACACCGGUGGCGAAGGCGGCAUCCUGGACCGAGAUUGACGCUGAGGCGCGAAAGCCAGGGGAGCAAACGGG